rnacentral:misc_RNA from 1 species
ACUUAAUAACACAGCAUAUCAAAUAUUAUUAGAUUAUCUAGUAGCUUCUAAUGUAUAAGAUAUAAAAAUGGAAUCCAAAUAUAAUACAAAUAUGCUAGUCUAGCAAUUCACUGUAUUCAGAAUUUUUAUUCAAGAACAUAUAAAGGAAGCCACCAAAUUAUAAAGGAUUCACCACUACUUGAGCAAGGGGAUGCCGAAUGAUGAAGUCUGCAAACUGAAGCUAGGAUAAGAAGAUAUGAAUAGAAAAGAUGUUGAUCAACUAAUAUUACAUCCAAAAAAGAAAAACACUCACAAUCAUUUACAAAAACAACUGCCAAAUUGCAGAUAUGUAACCAAGAGUUCCAAAAUUAACUACCAUAAGGAUAGGGAAAAAAAUUUGUAUUCAAAAAGGAUUGAGCUCAGAAGCUUCUAUGUAGAUAGCAAAAGAACCUACACAGAAUGAUGCAGACCUGUAAAAAUGUUUGGCCACAUGAUGUGCAGCAGAACUCUAGUGAAUUGAUACCAAGAGGACUCUUCUAGGGAUUAAUGUUGCAUUCUCGCAAGUACACAUGAUCAUAAUCCACAUACUUCACCCAGUAGUUGCGGUACUUGGAUAUGCCUAUCUCAAGCCAUGGUUUCAUAUUACCAUUGUAGUGUAUAACAGCUGCUCGUUCAAUCUCUCUUUGGUUGACAUUGGGGUUAUAGCCAAGGCCCAGUACAUGCCAUGAUUGGUCAAGAGAAUAAGUCCUUUUCCAGAAAGUAAUAAGGCCAGGUGGUAGAGUCCCCAACUUCCACAACGACCUGUCAUGAUUCAGCUUCUGCCAUCUAUGAUACACCGCAGUGAUAUUUUGCCUCUUCCAUUCCUCCAAAUCAAAUAUAUUCAUUCCAUAUGCCCAUCCACAAGCAUGAGGAUCAAAAUUCUUUGAGAUAAGAGGAUUUGAGAAGUUUAGAUAUCGAUCAAAACGAUGAAAGCUUUCUCCACAAGUCUCUACAGCACCAUUGACAUUACCCUUCAAAUCAAGGGACCAAAGGCCAGUAAGGUCCUUCUGUACCACUAUAUCAUCAUCUAAGAACAGCACUUUGUUGAGCUUUGGGAAGACCUCAGGCAGGUAAAAGCGUAGAUGGUUCAGGAUAGAUAAGUACUUUGGGUUUCGGUACUUCAAAUUAUUAUCAGAGUUAGUACGAUGUGCCCUAAAGUAAUAAUCUAUCAUAGAAGGAGAACCCAGCUGCUUGAGAACAGGACUAUAACUUGAAUUUAACCAUGUCAAUUCUUCAAUAUUCUGAACCUGAAUAGUAGCUUUGCCUGGCUGAUUCACUAGAAACCACAUUCUCAUUGCUGCAUAAUUAAGCCUAUCAGUAACAAUGUGAAAAACAUGUUUUGAAGGGUCCUUAGCAUGGGUAACAGUGGAGUUCACAACAACUGCUGCAGCCAGAACAUUGUCUGAAAACAAUGCAUAAUGAUACAGCCGAGAGUCUUCUAAAUUCUCUUGAUUUGGAAAUUGUUGCUCAAAAGAAUUCAAGCUAUAGUACUCUGUAGUCAAGCGUAAUGGAAGACAAUGUAAACCUUUAGGAAGUGUUUUUGCUGUUAAUUGUGUCAAGAACAUGGUCUGCUUCUUAUGCACUCGAAGCUGCUCUUCAGCUGAGUGAAGCAUAGCCCGAAGCUUCUUAACAGCAGUAGCACAGUCAUCCUGCAUCUGCUUGCCUUUUGCCAAUGAUAUUUCCAUUGCCUUCAAUUUCUCAUAGGCAUUCUUUGGCAAAUCAGAAUCUUUAGUUGCAUCCCCAACAACACGUUGAACUUCCUUUAUCCGUAACCGAAGCUCUCGUGUCAAAUGGGGAUUGUUUUUUGUGACUGGAAGAGAUAGGUAAACCUUUGCCCUAAUAAGUUGAUCUCUAAGUUGUCGCACCCGAGCAUCUGGCAUAGGCAUUUGAGUUGUCUGUUUAUCAGUUUUAGACUUAGGGGGCUCCUUCUCAUUGACCUUUCCAGAAGCUAUAGCAGAUUGCUGCUCAAGCACAAUUUGGGAGGUAGUGUCAGAUACUCCGUUGGACGCCCUUUCUUUGCGAUCCUUUUCCUUAGCAACUACGGCAUCUGUCCGGCUUUCCUGUUGAUUAGAGGUGUCAGUCACCUGUCUGAUAGAACUAUCAUUUUGGGAUUGACGUCCUUCGUUGGUAGCAGAUAAUACUCUAGCAGAUUUAUGCUCUCUUGAAUCUUGAGCUGAUGAAUCUGGAACUGGAAUGCUAGAGAAGGUUUCUGGAGGUGAGUUGGUAGAGUUAUCCGUAUAUACAAUUCCAAUGGGUUCUUUAAGCAACGCAGAAGAUUCCUGAAGCAAAAAAAAAAAGGGUGAGAUCUGCAAUUUAGCAGUACCCAAGAGCAAAAGAAGAGGAAGGAAGAAGAUUACCUGAGGUAAGACAUUGAGAUGAUGCCUGGUAUCACCGGGACGAGUCUGAAUUUGAGAAGAAAGGGAAAAAAAAUUACAAGAUUGAGUGAUUCAGAGGAUAAAUUACAGGCUGGCGAAAAUAGGGAAAUGCAAAAGCACUUACAAAAGACGCAACAUCGUCGAGAAAUUGGGUUCUAGAAGAGUAAGCUUUGAAGGCAGCGAAUCUAUUAGUGUAGAGAACAAUCGGAGCAAUUACGGUGACAAAUAGCAUUGCCACCACCAAAUUCCUGAGCAUCAUGAUGUUGUUGUCGUUUGAUUUGGAUUUUGGUAUUUAAAUGCCAAACACAGCGGCGAUUUCCAUCCAAGAAACACUUUGUUUGGGCAGCGAAGGAAGAAGAGAAGAAGAGAAGCAGAGCAGCAGAAAAGGAAGGAAAGGAGUUAGACCUUGGGAUGAAUGCAGAGCAGAUAUUGUUGAAGUAGCUCGGGCAAAUUGAAAAUGGAGCAGAAUCCUAGCAUCCUAAUUCUGUCUUCAACGAGCAAUAAAGGCCAGUCACAUCACCCUAUAGGCAAUAAACAAGAGAAAUGGCAAAGGAAAAUCCUCACGAGGAUUUAAUUUUGCUAGUGUACAUGGAAUGUAGGCAAAUUUUCUUGCCAUUAGGCACCCUCUUGUGUAAGCAGCCGGUUAAGCAUCCGCACCCUCCUUUUCCAGUGACCACACCGUCUCCUCAAACUUUUCCAAUGGAAUGAUAUCUAUGGAUUCCACGCAAGUCUCUGGAGUUUCAGACAAGCAUUGGCCAGAAAACUCGGGCAAUGCAGCCAUUGUGUAAUUGUCGUGAAGAAAGCACGCAAACGAGUCCUCGAAACGCCAGUCUUUUGAUUUGGAGACGGUACCUUCUUUAAGCCAAGGGAAAUCGAAUACCCCUAGUGCCAAAUAGUUGUCCGAGCUAUAGCUGUUGUCCUCAUGGUCAUAGUCGCUCAGUUGUAUGCUGAUAUUACCAAUGUUGCUUUUGCGAUCUUCUGUGUCGAGUCCUUGGCCUCUUAUCCCUCUCGUCCUUUCUUGUUGUUCUCCGGCUCCAUUUCUGCUUAUUUUCUGGUAAAAGAGCUCAGAAAAUCAAAACCCAAAUAUUUGUGUAUAGAGAUGAUGCAUUACCUUAGUUUCUUGCUUGGUAAAUAGGAGUGAUGGGUAUUGAAGAAUGAUGAUUAAGCUUUGCUCACACGCUACGCGAUUUUAAGCUAAACCUUGUCAACCACAUAUACACACAAACUCUUUUGUUACGCCAAUUACCCUGUUUUCGCUUGGAUUCUCUCUCUUCCAGUAAAGGCAAGAAUGAAAUGGGUGUCUUUUCCUCAUUUUCUCCAUUGAUCCUUUCUUGCCUCUCUUUUUCUAGUACAAAUAAGCGGCCGCAGGCAGUUUUCGCGUCUGCUUGCUUGCUCGCUCCCCACCUUUUCACCAACUAUAAACAUCAGUUUAUCGAUCCUGAUCAACUUAACAACCAACUUAUGGACAGAUCGAUCAUCAUGACAGCAAACAGAGUAAUGGAAACUUUCAUUUCCAAUGGCAUUUUUCCACUAAUGUUCAAUCAAACACAUUUAUACAUUCAACCGACUGAGUGAAUC